GGCGAUUUAGCUCAGUUGGUUAGAGCGUGUGCUUAACACCUUGGAUCCCCUAGCGGUGAAGAGUUACGCACAAGGUCGGCGGUUCAACCCCGUCAAACGUCA